GUGCAGCAUGGGUCAUCCUGCAAGGACAUUGAACCUAUGGUCAAUCUUCAUCUCCUGCUUUAUUACAGGUAACUUUGUGCUUACUUCCAUCUCACUGAUGAAGACCAUAAAUAGUGUUGAAACGAAUAUCAAGUUGAAUAGAAGAACCCCUCCAGAACCUCCUCAAUCAGUGAUUAUUCUUUGUUGACAGGGCAAGAAGAACUGCCACUUUUAGAUGCAAGCAGAAGGAGACAUUAUUGGAUUGGGUACUCAAGGCAUGGUCUGCUUGUAAUGGGGGAAAUAACCUUCUCUACAGUAAACAUGUCUGAAAGAAAUGACCCAUCAGACCAAAGCAAUGCUAGGUACCCAGGGAGAAGGAGUUUCUGGAGGAUUCUGGUGACUCAUGACCAUUGUGACUGUUCAUGGGGUAGAGGGGCUGGUUUUGCAGGUACUUUAAGAAAUAUUUGUGAGGCAGCCCAGGCUUUGGAGGUUCAAGGUCCCCAGGAGUCAAGGCUGACAGAAUCAGCAGGAAGGUUAAAUUGAAAAUACUGGCAGAUAUCUCAGAGCUAGUGUACAGCCAAA